GAACUCGCUGUAAUGUCUCCGGAUGUCUCGGAAGAUUGCAUCGCGCGCUUUAUCUACUUCGUCCACCGCCAUCGAAAUACAGUAUAGGUGUAGAAUACGUCACGCCAACACCACACCUCUCGACGCGAUGCCUUCUUUUCCUCAGCCAGGCACGGUCACCAUUUGCGAAAUCAACAGGGAACUAGUUACGGCAGACCACCUGGGGGAGGAUCAAGCGAAUGAUACCUACUCUAAACUACUCGUACUCCAUUCUAAUCGUUCUUUGCUUAAUUUUUUUGUUGUAUACUAGUGGCUGUGAUAAUUAGUUGCUAAAUAAUUCGAUGUAUCCUUGACUUAUAUGAAUCCAACAUUCUGCAUAAUCCUUGACUUAGUUUACAUAUUUAGCUUCAGCUUCAUAUGAGAGUUCAUCGUUCACCAUUUGGGAUGUUUCACUAGGUUUGGCCACUCCUCUUCGAAGAGGCCUAGGAGGCAUAUCAUUGUUAAAGUGGUCUCCAUCAGGAGAUUAUUUCUUUUCUGCAUAAUUUGAUGGAACAUUUCAUCUCUGGGAGACAAACACAUGGACAUCGGAACCAUGGUCCUCAAAGAAUGGGUUUUUCACGGUGACUGACGUUCAAAGUCUCGUAAUGCAAAAAGUUAUUUACAUGCUCUGGAUUUAUAUAGGUGCUCAUAUUCUUAUUGGUGGGCGAAUUAAGCAAGUAAAUUCUUGUUUUGUUUCAUCUAAUUGUUGGUGAUAUGGAGCAACAUGGGAUCCAGAUUGGCUGUAUGGCACUUCUUUCUUUUUCAGGAUCCGCAUCAUUAGGUUCCAUUCACUUUACAUCGAAACCUCCGACACUAGAUGCACUUCUUAUACCAGUUGAAUAGCCAGAGAUAAAAUUGUUGACCGACAGGUACAACAACUUGGCUGUAUAUACUUGCCAUGUUCUCUGGUUAUCAGCCAGGUCAUUGAGAAGAUAGCAUGGGAUGCUUCAGGAGAGAGAUUGGCGGUGUCACAUAAAGAUGGUGAUGAGCAAUACAAGGGGCUUGUUGCAGUAUUUGAUGUUAAAAGAACUCCCUUAAUUUCAACAUCGUUGGUUGAGGUCCUGGGGACAAUCCAAAGCCAGUGGCAUUUUCAUUCUACGACAAAUUAAAACAAGGGCCAUUGCUUUCUGUGUGCUGGAGCAGUGGAUUUUGCUGCACCUACCCUCUUAUAUUCCGUUCAAAUAAUCUACCAUAGUUGAGGUUAUGCAGAGAUUGCAUGCAUCGGUCUUGCAGUUCAUCACCAAGGAACUGAAAUGAACAAUCUAUGAACUUGAUGGGGCAUAUUCAGAGAGGCUAUAUUUUCUGAGACACUGUUAAUUAAAAAAACACCCAUUUAAGGGUACUAAGUUUUGUUGUAAACUGAUGUGAUCAACUACACUCUGAAUUUUUGUGUAAAACUUAGUAAUUUCUUAUUGUAAGUCCCCUUUCAU